GGGUCAGUGCAGCGGGUCCUGACCCCAAAAGACAUGCUGGAGUCCCGACCCCAGUGCCUGUGAAUGCAAGCAGCCCAUCUGCACCUUCCCAGGGACCCAUCCUGAAGCCCAGGCCGUGGCAGAAGAGUCCCGGAGGAUGAAGAGGCAGCUAGCUCAGGCCAGACCCAGGGAUCUGCGGAGCUGCACGGAGGAGUUUGGGCCUCACCCUCCCAGCCACCAGCAAGGCCUCACACGUUUGGAGUG
rnacentral:lncRNA from 1 species